rnacentral:rRNA from 1 species
GUUGGGUGGUGGAAAGUUUUUCGGUUGGGGAUGGGCUCGCGGCCUAUCAGUUUGUUGGUGGGGUAAUGGCCUACCAAGACGACGACGGGUAGCCGGCCUGAGAGGGCGACCGGCCACACUGGGACUGAGACACGGCCCAGACUCCUACGGGAGGCAGCAGUGGGGAAUAUUGCACAAUGGGGGAAACCCUGAUGCAGCGACGCCGCGUGGGGGAUGACGGCCUUCGGGUUGUAAACCUCUUUCAGUAGGGAAGAAGCCUUUGGGUGACGGUACCUGCAGAAGAAGUACCGGCUAACUACGUGCCAGCAGCCGCGG